AUGUCUGCCUUAAAGCUUUCCUAUGAUGAGUUGCCCUACCCUGUAGGGCAAUGCUUCUCAUAUUGUUCUAUAUUGCCCUACAAAUAUCCAUUUCUUGCUGAGGAGCUAGUUCAUGUUUGGAUUUCACAGGGAUUUGUGAAUCGUGAUCAUUCAAAUAAGAGUUUGGAGGAUAUGGGACGGUACUAUCUUACUGACUUGGUGAACCGGGGCUUGUUUGAGCAGGUUGAACUUCAAUGUCAAACUUACUAUGCCAUUUGCGGCCUGAUGCAUGAUUUUGCAAGGCUAGUUUCAAGAACAGAGUGUGCAGCUUUGGAUGGUUUGCAAUGCAAUGAAAUUUUGCCAACUGUACACCAUUUGUCCAUAAUAACCGAUUUUAUAUAUCAGAGGGAUGAUCAGACUGGGAAUAUACCUUGUAUUGAGUGGUUUGAACUUUCAUUGCAAAGUAUAGUCGCAUCAGUGAGAAAACUGAGAACAUUAGUGUUAAUUGGGGAAUAUGACUCCUUUUUCUUCAAAGCAUUCCAAGAUGUCUUUGAAGAAGCACAUAAUCUGCGUCUGCUGCAAAUGUUUGCAACAUCUCCUGAUUUUAAUUCUUUUCUGUGUAGCUUGGCAAAUCCUACACAUCUUCGGUAUCUAAAAAUUCAGGAUGGUCAUACUGAGCAGAAGGCUUUGCCUCGUGUUUUGAGCAAGUUCUUCCAUCUUCAAGUAUUGGAUGUUGUUUUCUUUAAUUCAUUGCAUAUGGUUCAUCUAGAGGAUUGCAGAGAAUGGAUAAUACUUCCAUCUCUAGAAAUGCUUCGGUUUCUUAAAAGGUUGAAGUUGAGCAACAUGCGGAGAGUAAGAGUAGUAUUAGUUCCACCAUUGGAGGAACUGGUUUUAGAUCGAAUGCCAGAUUUACAAAUAUGUUCCUGUACUUCUGUGGGGAAUAUAAAGUCUAGUUUAAGGUUGCUGGAGAUCUGGAGUUGCUCUGCACUUGAGGUGUUUGAUUUCUUACAGAAAGGUUAUAACUACGAAACAGAGCUUAAGUCACCGAUGCCCAGCCUGAGGAAACUCAUUAUGGUCGGUUGUCCUCGUUUGCAAGUACAGACCCCUCUUCCGCCUUCAGCAACACUUUCUAAACUAAUAAUCACUAGUGUUUCAACAAUUAUGUCAAUGGAGGGACUUUCCAUGGAAACAUUAAAGCUUUAUGGAUAUGGACUUCCAAGUGAGAUGAUGGCAGUCGAUGAGAAAAUACUUGGAGAUAUUGUCGGGCAAAAGCAUGACAUCUAUUUCAUUCAAAGGUUUAAGUCAACUCAUCUCUUUAAAGAGUUUGAAAAUAGAGUACUGCAGAGAACUUUUAUCUUCAGAUGUUGUGCCUGCAAAUGA
rnacentral:rRNA from 1 species